rnacentral:rRNA from 1 species
UACGUAGGGUGCGAGCGUUGUCCGGAAUUAUUGGGCGUAAAGAGCUCGUAGGCGGUCUGUUGCGUCCGCUGUGAAAACUCGGGGCUUAACCCUGGGCCUGCAGUGGGUACGGGCAGACUAGAGUGCGGUAGGGGAGACUGGAAUUCCUGGUGUAGCGGUGAAAUGCGCAGAUAUCAGGAGGAACACCGGUGGCGAAGGCAGGUCUCUGGGCAUUAACUGACGCUGAGGAGCGAAAGCAUGGGGAGCGAACAGG